CCUACGGGGGGCAGCAGUGGGGGAUAUUGCACAAUGGGGGGAACCCUGAUGCAGCGACGCCGCGUGGGUGAAGAAGAGAUUCGGCGCGUAAAGCCCUGUCAGCAGGGAAGAAAAUGACGGUACCUGAAGAAGAAGCCCCGGCUAACUACGUGCCAGCAGCCGAGGUAAUACGUAGGGGGCAAGCGUUAUCCGGAUUUACUGGGUGGAAAGGGGGCGCAGACGGCAGUGCAAGCCAGGAGUGAAAGCCCGGGGCCCAACCCCGGAACUGCUCUGGAAACUGUGCGGCUAGAGUACUGGAGGGGCAGGCGGAAUUCCGAGUGUAGCGGUGAAAUGCGUAGAUAUUAGGAGGAACACCAGUGGCGAAGGCGGCCUGCUGGACAGUAACUGACGUUGAGGCUCGAAAGCGUGGGGAGCAAACAGGAUUAGAUACCCUUGUAGUC
rnacentral:rRNA from 1 species